UUUGAAGGUUAAUAUGAAUAACCCAUAAAAUAAAGGAAGAUGAGAAUUUGGUAAAGGUUAAAGGUUAAAAUAAAUAUUUUUUUAUUUUUAUUAAAUAAUAGUAGUAGGAUAAGAAAAAUAGGAUAGAAAAAAUAAUGUUCAUUUAUGAUAAGUUUAACUAAUUUGUUAAACCUGCUAGAAUAAUUAGGAAUUUGUUUUAGAAAAUAAUUCAUUACUAUUUUAGGUGUUAUGAGUUUAAGAUGAUUUUUU
rnacentral:lncRNA from 1 species